rnacentral:rRNA from 1 species
UACGUAGGGUGCGAGCGUUAAUCGGAAUUACUGGGCGUAAAGCGUGCGCAGGCGGUUAUGUAAGACAGUUGUGAAAUCCCCGGGCUCAACCUGGGAAUUGCAUCUGUGACUGCAUAGCUAGAGUACGGUAGAGGGGGAUGGAAUUCCGCGUGUAGCAGUGAAAUGCGUAGAUAUGCGGAGGAACACCGAUGGCGAAGGCAAUCCCCUGGACCUGUACUGACGCUCAUGCACGAAAGCGUGGGGAGCAAAUAGG